ensembl:lncRNA
UAUUUGUCACAAUAUACUAAGCCAUACUGUCUAAAAACAUUAAGGCAAAUGCAAGUAAGUUUCUCAUAAACAAAACGAGCGUUUUAACGUUUAGAAUUGGCAUUAAUUCCAGAUGACCACUAGGGGUCAUUGUAUCUGUUUCAUGUUUCUUUGGACAGUAUUAUGAAGCUUUGCCCUGUGGUUUUUUUUUUUUUUGUAAACCUUGUCUUCCUCUUUUUAUUGUCAUGUGAUUCAUUAUCUUCAGUAUAAAUAGCCCAGUGUUGGUUCUGGACUUUGUCUAGUGUUGUACCUGUAUGAUCAUGUUUUCUGGUUAAGCUGCCAUGGAUACUGUGAAGACUUUCCUCACUAUCCUUUAUGUGCUUCUAUACAGCGGUUUCUGCUCAGAAAUGAAUUGUAAUGAUGGAGAAUGUAAACCCGUUAAGGACACCACACAAGUAUUCUUGUCAAGGAGCUGAAGGACUACACACAAGAAAUAGUUGAGUCUGUCCAACAUGACAUCCAGUGGUCACAAAUAGCUGUGAAAUACAGCAAUGUGAUUCAUAAAUUUAGAAACAUCAGCACAUUACAUACACAACUUAAAAAUGGUACAAUAACCCAACGCCACUAUGUGUCUGAAGUUGGAGCUCAGUUCACAGGGGGAAACUCUUUUCAGUUUCAUCUCACAGACUUUCACCACAUGAUGAUGGGCACUGGAUUUGGAGACAAACACAACAUUCUGGAUAUUUUUCACAAGUCGCUGGUCCAGGACUCCCAAAAACAGUCUGCUGAGCCAGUAGAGUGCACAAAAUACUACACUGACCAGAUUGAUUAUUUUGUGCGCUACAUGUUUGCCCUUGAAAAGGAAGCUGUUUUAGCUUGGUCGAAAUAUUUAAUGGUCACUGGAAAAUCAGAGAACUUUGAUUUUGUUGAGAAGGUUUUUAAGGACUAUGUCUCACAGCAGUGGAGACUCUUCAAUAAAAAUGGAUGUGGCCCUCUAAAGGCUGCAGAUCUUCAGAACAACCAUUGCAAGGAGCAGUACCACAGCACAGCCCAGCAGCAGGUGAAAAUUAAAUGUGGUGGAUUAUUGAAGCCCUUCCCUGAGUCUGUGGGGUGUUCUGGAGGACAGUGGAGCGCUUUACCUGUGUGCUACUCUGAGCAGGUAAAUGGGCGAGUUGAGUGCAAAUCUGAAGGUGGAGUCACCGUCUGUAAGGCCUCAUGCUCGCCUGGCUGGGUCUCCGCCACACACCCUCUGCCUGCUGAGUAUAAAUGCUCACAGCCGCCCUGCCCAUCCUUCACACCACACACGUGUGACAACUGCACACAGAACAGUGUGUGUAAGGACCAUGAGGUCUGCACUGGCUCCAUUGGCACAUGUCUUGAAACAUGCCUGGUUAAACCCUGUGGAGUGAACGCCAAAUGCUCGUCCUCCAAUCAUGACAGGAGCUGCACUUGUGUGAGCCCGUGGAAAGGAGACCCAUACCAAGGCUGCAGGAGUCAAGACCUCCAGUGGGUUCAGACCGAAGGAGUGCCCAGCAAUGCUGUUCGUUCUAAUGCCCAACUUGUGGUAUGCAAAGCCAUUGGACCUGACAGCGGGUGGCACAGUGGGUUUGUAAAGGAUCAACGCUGUAAUUAUGAAUAUGAUGGAAGAAAGCAUCAGGCCAAUAGCUAUGAGGUUCUGGUUGAUCCGUGUGGAGGAAGUGGUUGGAAAUGGAUGGAGGGGGAACAGCAGAACAUGGUCUCAUAUGAUGAAUCAAAGAGGUUUCCUGGAGUCAAAUACUAUGUGUGCAGUGGGAAAAGUGAUGACCUUGUAGGGAAGCUUUUCAACACGCGACAAGGAUUUAUGUGCCAUAUUGCCAAGGACAAUACCAGAGAUGGAAGUUUCUAUGCUCUGGUUCCACAACCAUGUAUCUGA